CUCUGCCUCACACCUCAAGUGUCAUGAAGCGUGUUGGCUUUAUUUAAAGACUAUCUGGAACUUCUGCCAAUGCCACUCUCAGGUCAGUGCCCCGGGCUGUCUGGGAUAGGUAUAAAAGAGCUGAGCACUUUGCAGUCCUCUAUCCAGCUUCUUCCACUUGACUCCCUUCAGCUCCUGGGACUCCUUGUCUGUGUGGAAGAU